GCCGGGUGGGGCGUGGUGGAAGAGGCAACGUGGCUUAGCUGCGCCGGGGCGGGGGCGCAGCCCGAGGGAAGGGUGGUGCCGUCGUGCCCGGAUUUGGGGGUCUGCUGGGAGCAAACGGAGGUCAGGACUGCCUGGGCAGGGAUCCCCAAGUUGCGUGCCAAGCUCGUGGACCAGCAAUCUGCAGAACAAAAGGACUCCUCAGAGAGCCAGGCUCCAAAAUUGAAGACGUCCAGGGAUUGCUCCCACAGCAAACAUGCUGGCAGCAUCCCCCACCCCCAGCAACAGGCCCCUGGCGACAUGAUGUGAUAGUGAGAUGCUGUGGUAGGGGGUUAGGCUGAUGUGAGGUUGCGAGAAAGUAAUGAGAGACGCGGCAUAAACUGUCCAGGCCUGUGCAUUGCAACACAUGGGGAUGAACGUCAGACUCAUCUCAGGACACAUGAGUCCAUCAGGAUGCCACAGUCAUUGUUACCUAGAAGCAUUGACUAGUCACUUGUUUCCAGCAUGGGCUUGUGUUGCUGUCUUCCCUGGAACUUGUUGGAGAAGAGGAUGUGUGUUCGUUGUGCUUGUAAUGAUCUCCAGCCGGGGGUCUGUCUUUUAUUGCAGUCCCAGGCAUGCAAGCUUUUUCUGUGGUUCCCUUUUUGCCUUUUUUUCUUGAGUGUCCAAUGAGGUUUGCUCCAGUAUCAGUGACAGCAGUUAUGUUCUUUUGUUCUUGUUUAUCUCUUGUGCUUUAGCACCAGUUUCUGUAGUCAUAAGGUGUCCAAUUUAGAUCACUGAGUCACCGUGACACACUGUCGUGGUUUUUCCAUCGGCCAACUGCCUCUGUAAUUCUCUAAGGGGCUUUGUAGGGAAUUGGGCUUAAGGGUCUGGAGCUGAUUUUGUGGUGGGCAGUCUCAGUUGCUGCAUGGUAUAGUGUCCUGUCCUUUUGAGGUUUCUGUGCUUUGAUAUUUUCUGGGUUUUAGUUAGAAUUUUUUAGCAGGAUUUCUUUUGUUUAUUCCUGAAGGUAAAGUCAGGUUUUCUUUUGACAUCCAGGUCCCUGUGGCUCUUUCCUCUUUUUUUUCCAGAUAUCCUCACCAGUGUUUUCUCAUGACAGGGGGGCAGAGCUGGGAAUGGAGUGCUGGGGCAUCCAGGUGCCAUGGGUGAUGGUGGCCACAACAUCCAGCCUUAUUAGAGUGGGAGCAAGUGGAACUUCACAGUGCUUCCGAGGAGGGUGCCAUUGCGGAAGAGAUCAGCGUUGAGUGGUGUGACGCUGACUGAUGGCACUCCAUGUUUGGAGACGAUGAAGAGGAUCUGUGUGACUGCAGCACCAUCCUACGUGGCCUGUGUGGCCUUUUUAAAGGAUGGCUUUUGAACCCCAGCAUUUUGAAAGGGAAGUUGAGGGACUGAUGCUGUCUUUGUGAGGGUAGCCGGUUGGUUGGGGGAAGCGGAGGUGGGGCAGGCAGGGGUUUUAAAAUCAGCGGAGAGUACCGAUCAGAGAUCGAUCACUCUUGGGCAGAGAGAGGGUGUGAUGUCCUUUCCGCAAAACGCGGGCAUCCGCCAGGCAGGGUAGUUCCAGCCUGUGUCUGUGGUGUUGUGUGGAUUUUGUAGUCUGUACAUCCCAGUACAUCCCAGUUCCAUCCCAGUACAUCCCAGUACAUGCCAGUGCCUCCCAGUACAUCCCAGUUCUCUCCCAGUUCCAUCCCAGUCCAUCCCAGUACAUGCCAGUGCCUCCCAGUACAUCCCAGUUCCGUCCCAGUACAUAGCAGUACAUCCCAGUUCCCUCCCAUUCCCUCCCAGUACAUCCCAGUUCACUCCCAGUAUAUCCAGUGGAUGCCAGUUCCCUCCCAGUAUAUCCCAGUACAUCCCUGUUCCCUCCCAGUACCUUCUAGUACAUCCCAGUACAUCCCAGUUCUACCCCAGUACGUCCAGUGCCUCCCAGUACAUCCCAGUUCCCUCCCAGUAUAUCCCAGUACAUCCAGUGGAUCCCAAUUCCCUCCCAGUUCCCUUCCAGUACGUCCCAGUU